GAUGAACGCUAGCUAUAGGCUUAACACAUGCAAGUCGAGGGACCGGCGCACGGGUGAGUAACGCGUAUCCAACCUACCCAUAACUAAGGGAUAACUCAGCGAAUGUUGGACUAAUACCUUAUGGUUAUGGAUGGGGAUGCAUCUGCUUAGCUUGUUGGCGGGGUAACGGCCCACCAAGGCAACGAUCAGUAGGGGUUCUGAGAGGAAGGUCCCCCAGAUAGGAACCGAGACGCGAUCCAAUAGCCUACGGGAGGCAGGAGGGAGGAAUAUUGGUCAAUGGACGCAAGUCUGAACCAGCCAAGUAGCGUGCAGGAUGAAUGCCUAGUGGUUGCAAACUGCUUUUAUAUGGGGAUAGGUACCAUAUGAAUAAGGACCGGCUAAUUCCGUGCCAGCAGCCGCGGUAAUUC
rnacentral:rRNA from 1 species